GGUUGGUGUGAAAGUAAUUGCGGUUUUUGCUGUAAAAAGCAAUGGCGAAAACCACAAUUACUUUUGGACCAACC
rnacentral:pre_miRNA from 1 species